UACGAAGGGGGCUAGCGUUGCUCGGAAUUACUGGGCGUAAAGCGCACGUAGGCGGCUUUCUAAGUCGGGGGGUGAAAUCCUGGAGCUCAACUCCAGAACUGCCUUCGAUACUGGAGAGCUCGAGUCCGGGGAGAGGUGAGUGGAACUGCGAGUGUAGAGGUGAAAUUCGUAGAUAUUCGCAAGAACACCAGUGGCGAAAGGCGGCUCACUGGCUCGUAACUGACGCUCAGGCGCGACAGCGUGGGGGAUCAAACAG
rnacentral:rRNA from 1 species